rnacentral:rRNA from 1 species
UAAUACCUGCAGCUCAAGUGGUGGCCGCUAUUAUUGGGCCUAAAACGUCCGUAGCCUGUUUAGUAAAUGCUUGGGUAAAUUGUGUAGCUUAACUAUACGAAUACCGGGUAGACUGCUAAACUUGGGACCGGGAUAGGCUAGAGGUACUCCUGGGGUAGAGGUGAAAUUCUGUAAUCCUAGGGGGACCACCAGUGGCGAAGGCGUCUAGCUAGAACGGGUCUGACGGUGAGGGACGAAGCCCUGGGGCGCAAACCGGAUUAGAUACCCGGGUAGUCCAGGGUGUAAACGCUGCUUGCUUGAUGUUAGUUGGGCUCCGAGCCCAACUAGUGUCGGAGAGAAGUUGUUAAGCAAGCUGCCUGGGAAGUACGGUCGCAAGACUG